rnacentral:sRNA from 1 species
CUGUAAUACCCUCCUUGGGUGUUUCCUCCCUAGAUUUGACCGCGCCCAACGGCGCGGUUUUUUUUGACUGCC